rnacentral:rRNA from 1 species
GGACUACCAGGGUUUCUAAUCCUGUUUGCUCCCCACGCUGUCGCGCCUCAGCGUCAGCCACAGCCCAGCGGGCCGCCUUCGCCACCGGUGUUCUUCCGGAUCUCUACGCAUUCCACCGCUACACCCGGAAUUCCACCCGCCUCUACUGUGCUCCAGUUCCCCAGUCCGCACGGCCGACCCGGGGUUGAGCCCCGGGCUUUCACCGCACGCUUAGCGAACCGCCUACGCGCCCUUUACGCCCAGUGAUUCCGGACAACGCUCGCACCCUCUGUAUUACCGCGGCUGCUGGCAC